GACGAACGCUGGCGGCGUGCCUAAUACAUGCAAGUCGAACGAGAGCGACCGGUGCUUGCACUGGUCAAUCUAGUGGCGAACGGGUGAGUAACACGUGGGUAACCUGCCCAUCAGAGGGGGAUAACAUCCGGAAACGGAUGCUAAAACCGCAUAGGUCUUCGAACCGCAUGGUUUGAAGAGGAAAAGAGGCGCAAGCUUCUGCUGAUGGACGGACCCGCGGUGCAUUAGCUAGUUGGUGAGGUAACGGCUCACCAAGGCCGUGAUGCAUAGCCGACCUGAGAGGGUGAUCGGCCACAUUGGGACUGAGACACGGCCCAAACUCCUACGGGAGGCAGCAGUAGGGAAUCUUCCGCAAUGGACGCAAGUCUGACGGAGCAACGCCGCGUGAGUGAAGAAGGUGUUCGGAUCGUAAAACUCUGUUGUUAGAGAAGAACAAGUGCUAGAGUAACUGUUAGCGCCUUGACGGUAUCUAACCAGAAAGCCACGGCUAACUACGUG
rnacentral:rRNA from 1 species